ACCAACCGAAACACAUUCGUAUGCAUAACUUAAUCUCAUGUGACAGGGGCAUUAGCCCUGGAUCAUUCGAUGAACUCGUCUUGACUGAAGUGUUGUUUAGUGACGGGUUAUCUAACAAAUGUAGCCAUGGCGUUUGGGACUGUGCACUUUUUCACCACCUCCCAAGUCUUCAUCCUGUGUUUCAGUCUAUUCUCUGCACAUGUUCAAGUGUCGGGGCAGGCCAGUGCAGAGAAGGCAGCUGAUAAUCAGUAUGCAUCAGUACAGAUGUCUGAUAUGGGUCCUCCACUUCCUGACUCCCGUCAUCCCUCGCAAAGUAAGCAACGCAAUCGCUCACAUCCCACCCCAGCCAGUGCAGAGAGACAAGGAGAGCGUCUCUAUGAGCAUUGCAAUGACAUGGGGUCACGACCAACCAGCAACAUACCCUCCAGAGAUGUCAUACCAUCGCACAGGCAAUUGGCCAAUAACGUUGUCACUCAGAACAGGACGGAGGAGGAGGAGGCGGGUACAUUGGUGUACGCCUCACUGAAUCACCAGACCCCAAACCGGUUGCAGACUCGAGCCAUAGAGGUCACGGAGGAGUCCACUGAGUAUGCUGCUGUGCGCAGGUGCUAGUCUCAGACUGCUCUGCAUUAGAAAGGCACAUUGACUUCUUGUACUUGUUCCUGUACAUAUGUGAUUGAGAUAUUGGUGAUUUAUUAAUUGCAAUAUGUUAGUGUUGUUGAUGGCUUUAGUUAAUGAGCUCUGAACAUGGUCUUAAGGUUGUGAUCAGGAGCAACCAUACAGACAUUUGAACUACAUUCAUUUUCAUUUACAUGAACUUGCCUUAAUCUUGCUGAGAUGUAGUCUACAGGUGUGUUAAGACCACACAUCAUAUAUUCAAAAUGGCAUCUCUGCACCUAACCUUGUGCCCCUGUGGCUUAACUGGAAGAGCUCAGAACUAAGAACAUGGUCAUGGCUUCCACGUCCAGGGAGCACAGAUACUGAGGGCAAAUGGACAUAUGCACUGUGCUGUGAAGGAGUUGAAAAAUCAGAAUUAAGGAUCAGAGUUAAUCAAAUCAAAUCAAAUCAAAUCACACUUUGAUUAAUCAAUUAAUAAUGAUUGACAAUAAUCCAUAUUCCAACAAAUCUUAUAUUAAUUUGUAUUUGUUGCUUUUAAUUGGAUUUAGGUUCAAGUGUAAGAGUUUCUGGUUGAAUAUACUGUUAGAUGAAAUGACCGGAGAGAGGUGUGAAUGAGUGUUCACUCCCGUUCCCCUUCUCUUGGUCCUAUCAAAGUGUCUUUGAUAUUCCUUAUCUUCAUGAAUUCAGGCCUCUGAGACAUUUGCUCACAGCUGGAUCUCUUAAAUCAAUUUUCCCUGAGAACAAAUGUUGUGAAGUUUCUCGUCUCAGAGGUAGUAGACUGAUACAUAUUUAUGGAGGGAUGGGGCUAUGGGGUGACACCCCUUAUGCUAUGGAGGAUAUUAAAACUGAAAUGUUACAAUGGCUGACCAGAUGAGACAUAGGUGAAGCUUUUUAGUGAAAUCUCUGUCUAUCUCCCUGGAUGCGUCACUGCAUCACUGUACAAGAUUAAACCUGUUUCUUGACUGAUCAUAUCUCAGACUGAGUUUCCACCAAUCUUUUGGUACUAAUGAAUCACCAUCAACUGUGAGUCACUUUGGAUGAAAGUGCCGCCUAAACGAAUACAUGUAAAUGUAAAAUCAUUAUCAUUUGUGCCUUCAAGAGGAAAAUUAAAGUGUUUUAAGAGGUGUGGUCUGUUCUGUUUCACGGUGUUACUGUGUUUGUGUUUUUUAAUUUGUUUUACAUUUUUGUUCUAUAAAAUACUUUAAAAUCUUACUUUUGAGCUGAAUUAAGUACUACCCUGUUAUUAUUGUAAGUGUAACAACCUUGUCUUUACAUUUUGUUACUUACUAAUAAUUUUGUUAUUCAAACCUCACUAGACCUUCAACGUAAACAUAUUAAAUGUUUAAUAAAAAAAAUACCCAUGCCUAGCCUUUCCA
ensembl:lncRNA